rnacentral:rRNA from 1 species
UAACACGUCGAUAAUCUGCCUUAUGGUUAGAGAUAGCCUUGGAAACUGAGGGUAAUAACUGAUAGGAGAAAAGUACUGGGAUGUUUUUUCUCUGAAACGCAAGGCCAUAAGAUGAGUCGGCGGCUGAUUAGGUUGUUGGUGAGGUAAUGGCUCACCAAGCCGAAGAUCAGUAGGGGAGAUGAGAGUCUUAGCCUCGAGAAGGGCACUGAGAUAAGGGCCCUAGCCUUACGGGGUGCAGCAGUCGGGAAACCUUUACACUGCACGAAAGUGUGAUAAGGGGAUUCUAAGUGCUUACUUUCGAGUAGGCUUUUGUUGAGUUUAAAAAACUCGACGAAUAAGUGGUGGGUAAGACCGGUGCCAGCCGCCGCGGUAACACCGGCGCCACGAGUGGGGAUCAGAUUUAUUUGGUCUAAAGCAUCUGUAGCCGAUUUUGUAAAUCCCUUGUGAAAUUGAUGGGCUAAACCUAUCAGCGGGCAAGGGACACUGCCAAGUUAGGGACCGGGAGGAGGCAGAAGUACGCUUUGGGGAGCGGUAAAAUGCGAUAAUCCUUAGCGGACUACCUGUGGCGAAGGCGUCUGCCUAGAACGGGUCUGACGGUGAGAGAUGAAAGCCAGGGGCGCAAAAGGGAUUAGAUACCCCUGUAGUCCUGGCUGUAAACGCUG